rnacentral:tmRNA from 1 species
ACUCAUUGGACCCGGGGGCGGUACCCGGCGCCUCCACCAAAAUAUAAAAAAUUAUAUUUUGGUGGGGGCGAAAUAGGAUCGACAAGAGCGUAAAGAUUGCUCUUUUACUCGGCAUAGUACCACCGUUAUCGGACUAAAUGAGUAGUUGCAAAUGACAACUAUGCGGAAGCACGUCUCGCCGCUUAAGGUGGUGUGAAUGUUUCAAAUUAAGUCUUAAACCGUCGCAGGUUUAAGCGGGGUUCGAAGG